rnacentral:rRNA from 1 species
CCUACGGGGGGCAGCAGUGGGGAAUAUUGCACAAUGGGGGAAACCCUGAUGCAGCGACGCCGCGUGAGUGAAGAAGUAUUUCGGUAUGUAAAGCUCUAUCAGCAGGGAAGAAAAUGACGGUACCUGAUUAAGAAGCCCCGGCUAACUACGUGCCAGCAGCAGCGGUAAUACGUAGGGGGCAAGCGUUAUCCGGAUUUACUGGGUGAAAAGGGAGCGUAGACGGCAGCACAAGUCUGGUGUGAAAUGCCGGGGCUUAACCCCGGAACUGCUUUGGAAACGGUGCAGCUAGGGUGCAGGAGAGUUAAGGGGAAUUCCUGUUGAAGCGGUGAAAGGCGUAGAUAUUAGGAGGAACAC